GCUUCCAAAUAUUUCUACGGAAUACCAAAUCUUUCUGCUGCUACAGAGAAAAAUGUUCCGUUGAAGACAAUGAAGACUCAUUACAUUAUACUUUGCAUAAUGUUUACACGGUUUGUUUUCUUCAAAUAGUUGAUGGGUAGAUGGUGGGAAAAUUGUCUUGGAACAUAGCAAAGAAGUGUCUAGGUGGCAUUGGGAACGCAUCGUGAUACACGAGUUUUAGCCGUUGCUGGAAAUUUCUGCUUCUGUUCACACAUUUGCAAAUGACCAGAUUGCUGGAGACAACCACGUAUCCAGUCUUGAGCAGCAACAUCACACUUUUUUAUCUGAUGGGACUUACAGUAUUAUUUCUUUCGUAUAAACGAGGAACUAGGAAGUUAAACAAAAUAGAAGCAUUCCAUCAACAAGGUGACCCACUUUAUAAAUCCUUGGGAUGACAAAAAAGUAGUUGGCAAACUGCUUCCAAGUCAAGCUGCUUUGGAAUUUCCCUUCCUCACUGUUUCACAUGUUGUAAAAGCAAGUCACAAAAUGUUCCUCCAUCAUUCGACUGUGGAUAAACCAUGAUAAGCAUAAGAUCUGUUUCUUAGAUUUGAGGAACCUAGAAAGCUUUAGAGACAGUUUCAGUGUUGGUGAAUCGCAAAAUGUUCCACAUCAACGAAAUUUGUUUGACAAAUCUUGCCAGAAAUUUUUUUGCUGGUAAAUAUCAUUUCCAUUACUGAACGUGAAUUUAAAAAAAAAUGUUGAAGAACAUGUUGAUGAAGUAGAAAGAAUUCGCGUCACACUAGUUGUCAUCAUCAAUAUUCCUGACGGAUAAUCAUCCGAGAGCACG